CGCCCGUCACACCACGAGAGUUGGUAAUACCAGAAGUGGGUAGCUUAACCGCAAGGAGAGCGCCUCCCAAGGUAGGACUAGCGAUUGGGGUGAAGUCGUAACAAGGUAUCCGUACGGGAACGUGCGGAUGGAUCACCUCCUUUCUAUGGAGUUAAAUUUAUUAAAGACUAUUUUGGUUCUAUUUAGUUUUCAGAGAUUGUAUAGUCUCUGACAAACGAUUGUUCUUUGAAAACUGAAUAUUAGAUGAAAUGCAAUUUUCUAAUUAUAACAAGAUAUAAUUAGAUAAUUUAUUACGAAAUUAUUUCGUAAUGACAUCAAACAAUUAACUAAAAUUAAUUGAGUUACAAAUUGCUAGAAAGAUUUUCUAAAAAAAUAGUAAGAGCAUAUGGUGAAUGCCUUGGAAAAUGGAGCCGAAGAAGGACGUGACUACCUGCGAAAAGUCUGGGGGAGCUGGAAGCGAGCUGCGAUCCCGGAAUGUCCGAAUGGGGAAACCUAACAUGAUUUAUCUCAUGUUGUCAGCAAGUCAAUACAUAGCUUGUAUGAUGGGAACCUAGGGAACUGAAACAUCUUAGUACCUAGAGGAAAAGAAAAUAAUAAUGAUUCUGUUAGUAGUGGUGAGCGAACACAGAACAGGCCAAACCACUCUACGGGGUGGGGUUGUAGGACUUUUGUUAGAGUUACAAAGUGAUUGUAUAAUAGAAGCUAUUGGGAAAUAGCGGCAUAGAGGGUGAUACCCCCGUAUAUGAAAUAUAAUCACCUCGAAAAAGUAUCCUGAGUACGGCGAAACACGUGAAAUUUUGUCGGAAUCUGCCAAGACCACUUGGUAAGCCUAAAUACUACCAUUUUACCGAUAGUGAACCA
rnacentral:sRNA from 1 species